rnacentral:rRNA from 1 species
UACGUAGGUGGCAAGCGUUGUCCGGAUUUACUGGGCGUAAAGAGCGCGCAGGCGGUCGUUCAAGUCGCGUGUGAAAGCCCCCGGCUCAACUGGGGAGGGUCACGCGAUACUGAUCGACUCGAAGGCAGGAGAGGGUAGUGGAAUUCCCGGUGUAGUGGUGAAAUGCGUAGAGAUCCGGAGGAACACCAGCGGCGAAGGCGGCAUCCUGGACUGGUCCUGACACUCAGGAGCGAAAGCGUGGGGAGCGAUCCGG